AUGGUAAUCCGGUGAUUAGACAAAAUUCUUGCAUGCCAAAACGGGCCACAUGAUCGUCUAAUCGUACCCAAACUUCAUUAUUUUUGCCGCAGUUGAUAAGUCUCAUUAUGAACUCGUGUAUUAAGUUGCUACUAAAUUUUUCAUUUUGUUCUUUAUACAUACUUCCAUAGAUAAAUCCGUGAAAGUGACUGCAUAAUAAAGA
rnacentral:lncRNA from 1 species